rnacentral:tRNA from 1 species
GCGAGGGUGGCGGAAUGGCAGACGCGCUAGUUUGAGGGGCUAGUGCCGGAAACGGCGUGCGGGUUCAAAUCCCGCUCCUCGCACCA